rnacentral:rRNA from 1 species
GCAUGUCUAAGUACAGGCCUAAGUAAGGCGAAACCGCGAAUGGCUCAUUAAAUCAGUUAUGGUUCAUUGGAUCUUACCCUUUCUUACUUGGAUAACUGUGGUAAUUCUAGAGCUAAUACAUGCCAACCAGUAGCUCCGACACACUCCCGUGUGGAAGAGCGCUUUUAUUAGAUCAAAACCAGUCCUCCCUCGGGAGGUCAAACCCCUUCGUGGUGACUCUGAAUAACUUUUAGCUGAGCGCACGGUCUCCGCGCCGGCGCCGCAUCUUUCAAGUGUCUGCCUUAUCAGCUUUCGAUUGUAGGUUAUGCGCCUACAAUGGCUAUAACGGGUAACGGGGAAUCAGGGUUCGAUUCCGGAGAGGGAGCCUGAGAAACGG